AUUGAACGCUGGCGGCAGGCUUAACACAUGCAAGUCGAGCGGAGAUGAGGUGCUUGCACCUUAUCUUAGCGGCGGACGGGUGAGUAAUGCUUAGGAAUCUGCCUAUUAGUGGGGGACAACAUUCCGAAAGGAAUGCUAAUACCGCAUACGUCCUACGGGAGAAAGCAGGGGAUCUUCGGACCUUGCGCUAAUAGAUGAGCCUAAGUCGGAUUAGCUAGUUGGUGGGGUAAAGGCCUACCAAGGCGACGAUCUGUAGCGGGUCUGAGAGGAUGAUCCGCCAAACUGGGACUGAGACACGGCCCAGACUCCUACGGGAGGCAGCAGUGGGGAAUAUUGGACAAUGGGGGGAACCCUGAUCUAGCCAUGCCGCGUGUGUGAAGAAGGCCUUAUGGUUGUAAAGCACUUUAAGCGAGGAGGAGGCUACUGAGACUAAUACUCUUGGAUAGUGGACGUUACUCGCAGAAUAAGCACCGGCUAACUCUGUGCCAGCAGCCGCCGUAA
rnacentral:rRNA from 1 species